rnacentral:rRNA from 1 species
GAUGAACGCUGGCGGCGUGCCUAAUACAUGCAAGUCGAGCGAACGGACGAGAAGCUUGCUUCUCUGAUGUUAGCGGCGGACGGGUGAGUAACACGUGGAUAACCUACCUAUAAGACUGGGAUAACUUCGGGAAACCGGAGCUAAUACCGGAUAAUCUUUUGAACCGCAUGGUUCAAAAGUGAAAGACGGUCUUGCUGUCACUUCUAGAUGGAUCCGCGCUGCAUUAGCUAGUUGGUAAGGUACCGGCUUACCAAGGCAACGAUGCAUAGCCGACCGGAGAGGAUGAGCGGCCACACUGGAACUGUGACACGGCCCAUACGCCUAGGGGAGGCAGCAGUAGGGAAUCUGCCGCGAGGGGCGAAAGCCUUACGGAGCAACGCCGCGUGAGUGAUGAAGGUCGUCGGAUCGGAAAACUCUGUUAUUAGGGAAGAACAUAUGUGUAAGUAACUGUGCACAUCUUGACGGUACCUAAUCAGAAAGCCACGGCUAACUACGUUC